rnacentral:rRNA from 1 species
UACAGAGGUGGCGAGCGUUAUUCGGAAUUAUUGGGCGUAAAGGGCGCGUAGGCGGCUUGACAAGUCCCGGGUGAAAUCUCAGGGCUCAACCUUGAAAUUGCAUUGGAUACUGCGUUGCUAGAGGAUUGUAGAGGAGAGUGGAAUUCACGGUGUAGCAGUGAAAUGCGUAGAUAUCGUGAGGAAGACCAGUUGCGAAGGCGACUCUCUGGGCAAUUCCUGACACUGAGGCACGAAGGCUAGGGGAGCAAACGGG